UUUACUAGAAUAUAGUUAUCCUACUUGGAUAACUGUGGCAAUUCUAGAGCUAAUACAUGCAAAAAAGCUCUGACCGCAAGGAACGAGCGCAUUUAUUAGAAUAAAAACCAAUCGGGUUUCGGCCCGUAAUUUGGUGAAUCUGAAUAACUUUGCCAAUCGCACAGUCCUAGUACUGGCGAUGUAUCUUUCAAGUGUCUGCCUUAUCAACUUUCGAUGGUAGGUUAUACGCCUACCAUGGUAGUAACGGGUAACGGAGAAUAAGGGUUCGACUCCGGAGAGGGAGCCUGAGAAACGGCUACCACAUCCAAGGAAGGCAGCAGGCGCGCAAAUUACCCACUUCCAGAACGGAGAGGUAGUGACGAAAAAUAACGAGACAGUCCUCUUCGAGGUCUGUCAUCGGAAUGGGUACAAUUUAAAUCCUUUAACGAGGAUCUAUUGGAGGGCAAGUCUGGUGCCAGCAGCCGCGGUAAUUCCAGCUCCAAUAGCGUAUAUUAAAGUUGUUGCGGUUAAAACGCUCGUAGUUGGAUCUGCGGCCUCGGAGAACGGUCCCCCGAAAGGGCGGUCACUGUCUCUCCUAGCCUAAAUUCAAGUCGUCUCUAGGUGCUCUUUACCGAGUGCUUAGAGUGACUAGAACGUUUACUUUGAAAAAAUUAGAGUGCUUAAAGCAGGCGAAAUAGCCUGAAUAAGGUGCAUGGAAUAAUGGAAUAGGACCUCGGUUCUAUUUUGUUGGUUUUCGGAACCUGAGGUAAUGAUUAAGAGGAACAGACGGGGGCAU
rnacentral:rRNA from 1 species